ACCCUACCCCAUGAAAACAGGGUCAUGACUCACUUUGGGUUCCCGAUCCACAGUUUGAGAACCGCUGGAUUAGAAAAAAAUGGUCUGUGAAU